rnacentral:tRNA from 1 species
UACGGACGCGGGGUGGAGCAGCUUGGUAGCUCGUCGGGCUCAUAACCCGAAGGUCGUUGGUUCAAAUCCAGCCCCCG